UUUUAACCUAAUUUUUGUAUCAUCCUUCUUGGGACAAAUCGCUGCAUCCAAUCCUCUUCUUUUUUCCUCUGUCCAUCUCGCUUCUUCUUCGUUUACGUUACACUACUCGGGAAAAAUAUACUUUGAAGCCAAUUUACGGUAGAGAUAUGAUGAUAUGUUCAGAAGACCUUGCUAUCAAACCUUGUGGAAAAAAAUCAUCACACCAUAGACUUCAAAAUCAUAUGCAUAAAGUUUGCAUAAAAAGUCAACAGAUUACAACCAUAACUUGAUAAUCUUAUCAUUGGUCACCUGUGAUUAUAUCAAAGCGUUAAAAGUGAUGAGUUCAUCUUUGAGUAUGAUUUUGCCAUUCGAAGAAUUUUUUCACAAUGACAUUACUGGAGAAUAUUUUUCCUUGGGAGGAACAACUAGUUGUAAAAAACCUACUUUGGAGCCGAUUGACGGUCGAGAUACGGUGAUAUGUUCAAAAGACAUUGCUAUCAAACUUUAUGAAAAGAAGUCAUUACGCCAUAGACUUCAGAAUCAUGUGCAUAAAGUCUGUGUACCUUUGAAUUCUAAAUCUAAAAGUCAACAGGGUUUUAAAUGUUUGAAGCAUUUUAACAUUAUGGAAAAAGCUGGUGGAGUUGGAAAAUGAAUCACUAAGCAAUUCGAUGUCGAUGUCAAUGACAACACCUUGGAAAUUCACUUGUACUGGGUAGGGAAAGGAACCAUUGCCAUUCCUGAUGGAGGUGUAUAUGGACCUCUUAUAUCUACUAUCACAGUAACACCAAGUAAGUUUUUGUUUAUCAUUUGUUUUCCAUGUUUCUUUCCACUGCCGUGCUUUGUCAUUUUCUAUAAGCAUUUCAACUUUGUUGUAGACUUUGAAAAUCAUUCAGGAGGGCUGUCUGCUGGUGGCAUGCUGGAAUUGUGGCUGCAUUGUGUGUUCUUGUCAUGCUGAUAUUGGUUACCCUUUAGAAAUUGAGUUUCUUUGGCCGAAAAGAUACUACAUACAAAGACCUUCUUGAUCUUAAAAGAGGUUAUUUCAGCUUAAGACAAAUUCAAGCAGCCACUAAUGACAUUGACCCUGCAAAUAAGAUUGGUGAAGGGAUUUGAGCCACUAUACAAUGUAACUAUGGAUAAGAUCAUAAUUAUCUGGCUAGAUCAUAAUUAUCUGGCUGCUAUUUCCAAAUUCAAAAUAUUUUGGCAUACUAUUUAUCCCAAAAACAUUCUCUCUAUAUUCUAAGAAAAGUUUUCUCCUAAUGACACGUGUUAGAACUUAACACCUCUAUAUUCAACAUUUUACUCCCCACACUUAAAUAAUAAGAGAAACCUUCUUAUGCCAUCUAACAUUCAGAUAUAGAAGUCAUGAAGGAAAAGUUUUCAAAGCUCUACAUAGUCAGUUUUUAUUCAUUUAUAUUUUUCUUCUGGUUGAUUUUAUAAGCCUGUUACUGUUUUUUGAAAAUCUGAUCGCAGCUACAUAUAGAGGGGGAGGUGAUUCACUCAUAAUCUUCUCCAAGAUCUCUCAACACCUCUCUUUCUUAGGUAUCAUCAAUUCUCUAUGUCAUAUUCUUGUUUCACUUCCCCUAAUUCAUCUUUGGAUUGUGUAACUUAACAAGAUGAUAUAGAAGUGUUUGAUGAACCUCUUUAUUCUAAUUUCCUUCAAGACCCUACUUUUGAUAGACCUUACAAAGAUGAACUACUUUCUAAAAUGGUAUUUAUCCAUCUAUCUUUUAUCUCAUUUCAAAAAUCGAUCAACUAUUCAUUCAAUCAUAAAUCUUGAUUUUCUUUUAUUUUCUAUUUCAAUUAAAAUAAGAAUCUGAUGGAAAAAAGGUUGUUAAAGAUAUUAUAUAC